rnacentral:rRNA from 1 species
GAUUGAACGCUGGCGGCAUGCUUUACACAUGCAAGUCGAACGGUAACAGGCCGCAAGGUGCUGACGAGUGGCGAACGGGUGAGUAAUGCAUCGGAACGUGCCCAGUCGUGGGGGAUAACUACUCGAAAGAGUAGCUAAUACCGCAUACGAUCUAUGGAUGAAAGCGGGGGACCGUAAGGCCUCGCGCGGUUGGAGCGGCCGAUGUCAGAUUAGGUAGUUGGUGGGGUAAAGGCUCACCAAGCCAACGAUCUGUAGCUGGUCUGAGAGGACGACCAGCCACACUGGGACUGAGACACGGCCCAGACUCCUACGGGAGGCAGCAGUGGGGAAUUUUGGACAAUGGGCGCAAGCCUGAUCCAGCAAUGCCGCGUGCAGGAAGAAGGCCUUCGGGUUGUAAACUGCUUUUGUACGGAACGAAACGGCUCUGGUUAAUACCCGGGGCUAAUGACGGUACCGUAAGAAUAAGCACCGGCUAACUACGUG